rnacentral:misc_RNA from 1 species
CGUAACAAGGUUUCCGUAGGUGAACCUGCGGAAGGAUCAUUAUCAAAACAGCGGACUUCGGUCCUUGCUGCACCCUUGUCUUUUGCGUACCGUAUGUUUCCUCGGCGGGCUUGCCUGCCGGUUGGACAUUAUCAAACCUUUUUGUAGUUGCAAUCAGCGUCAGAAAACAAACAAUAAUUACAACUUUCAACAACGGAUCUCUUGGUUCUGGCAUCGAUGAAGAACGCAGCGAAAUGCGAAAAGUAGUGUGAAUUGCAGAAUUCAGUGAAUCAUCGAAUCUUUGAACGCACAUUGCGCCCCUUGGUAUUCCAUGGGGCAUGCCUGUUCGAGCGUCAUUUUGUACCCUCAAGCACUGCUUGGUGUUGGGCGUUUGUCCUGCAAAGGACUCGCCUGAAAGCGAUUGGCGGCCAACGUACUGGUGGUAGAGCGCAGCACAAUUUGCGUCUCUCCCCUCUGCGUCGGCGUCCAUGAAGCCUUUUUUCAACGUUUGACCUCGGAUCAGGUAGGGAUACCCGCUGAACUUAAGCAUAUCAAUAA